rnacentral:rRNA from 1 species
GACGAACGCUGGCGGCGUGCUUAACACAUGCAAGUCGAACGAUGAACCCGGAGCUUGCUCCGGUGGAUUAGUGGCGAACGGGUGAGUAACACGUGAGUAACCUGCCCUUGACUCUGGAAUAACUGCGGGAAACUAUAGCUAAUACCGGAUACGACCCUCGGAGGCAUCUCCUGGGGGUGGAAAGAAUUUCGGUCAAGGAUGGACUCGCGGCCUAUCAGCUAGCUGGUGAGGUAAAGGCUCACCAAGGCGACGACGGGUAGCCGGCCUGAGAGGGUGACCGGCCACACUGGGACUGAGACACGGCCCAGACUCCUACGGGAGGCAGCAGUGGGGAAUAUUGCACAAUGGGCGCAAGCCUGAUGCAGCAACGCCGCGUGAGGGAUGACGGCCUUCGGGUUGUAAACCUCUUUUGUCAGGGAAGACACACCGGCUCUAACACAGUCCGGGAAUGACGGUACCUGAAGAAUAAGCACCGGCUAAC